rnacentral:rRNA from 1 species
UACGUAGGGGCCGAGCGUUGUCCGGAGUUACUGGGCGUAAAGCGCGCGCAGGCGGCUCGUCAAGCCUGACGUGAAAGCCCCCGGCUCAACCGGGGAGGGUCGUCGGGGACUGGCGGGCUUGAGGUCGGCAGGGGUUGGUGGAAUUCCCGGUGUAGUGGUGAAAUGCGUAGAUAUCUGGAGGAAUACCGGUGGCGAAGGCGGCAUCCUGGACCGGCAUUGACGCUGAGGAGCGAAAGCCAGGGGAGCAAACGGG